rnacentral:piRNA from 1 species
UUUGAGUCAUUUCUGUUCCUGUGAUCCAC